rnacentral:misc_RNA from 1 species
ACCAAGAUGAAGGCGGUUCACCGCUUUCUCGAUGAUGGCGACAGGGUCAAGGUGACGAUGCGCUUCCGCGGCCGUGAGAUGGCUCACCAGGAUAUCGGCAUGGGUCUGCUACUCAAGGUGCGCGACGAGCUCGAGGGAAAGGCGAAAGUCGAAUCCUCCCCGCGCUCGGAAGGCCGACAGAUGGUGAUGGUGCUGGCGCCCAAAUAAGCGCCCCUCCUGUUUGCAGAGACAUCAUGCGGCGGGUCCUUCGGGGCCCGCCGUUUUCUUUCGGGCCCCCUCUCGCAGCCCAAACCGAUGGGC